UAGGGAAUCUUCCACAAUGGGCGAAAGCCUGAUGGAGCAAUGCCGCGUGUGUGAUGAAGGGUUUCGGCUCGUAAAACACUGUUGUAAGAGAAGAAUGACAUUGAGAGUAACUGUUCAAUGUGUGACGGUAUCUUACCAGAAAGGAACGGCUAAAUACGUGCCAG
rnacentral:rRNA from 1 species